CCUACGGGUGGCAGCAGUGGGGAAUAUUGCACAAUGGGGGAAACCCUGAUGCAGCGACGCCGCGUGAGUGAAGAAGUAAUUCGUUAUGUAAAGCUCUAUCAGCAGGGAAGAAAAUGACGGUAACUGCGUAUGAAGCCCCGGCUAACUACGUGCCAGCAGCCGUGGUAAUCCGUAGGGGGCAAGCGUUAUCCGGAUUUACUGGGUGUAAAGGGUGCGUAGACGGCAGUGCAAGUCUGGAGUGAAAGGCGGGGGCUCAACCCCCGGACUGCUCUGGAAACUGUACGGCUGGAGUGCAGGAGAGGUAAGUGGAAUUCCUAGUGUAGCGGUGAAAUGCGUAGAUAUUAGGAGGAACACCAGUGGCGAAGGCGGCUUACUGGACUGUAACUGACGUUGAGGCUCGAAAGCGUGGGGAGCAAACAGGAUUAGAUACCCGAGUAGUC
rnacentral:rRNA from 1 species